UACAGGGGGCUCGGAGCGUUAGUCGGAAUCACUGGGCCUUAAAGGGUGCGUAGGCGGCUCGCCAAGUGCUUUGUGAAAUCUCACAGCUCAACUGUGGAACAGCAGGGCAAACUGGCGAGCUUGAAGCAGGUAGGGGCUGGAAGAACAGUAGGUGGAGCGGUGAAAUGCGUAGAUAUCGAUACUGGAAGUGACCCGAUGGGGAAGCCGUCCGAGCUGGGCCUGUCUUGACGCUGAGGCACGAAAGCGUGGGGAGCAAACAGG
rnacentral:rRNA from 1 species